CCUAGUUGAUCCUGCCAGUAGUCAUAUGCUUGUCUCAAAGAUUAAGCCAUGCAUGUGUAAGUAUGAACUAAUUCAGACUGUGAAACUGUGAAUGGCUCAUUAAAUCAGUUAUAGUUUGUUUGAUGGUAUCUACUACUCGGAUAAUCGUAGUAAUUCUAGAGCUAAUACGUGCAACAAACCCUGACUUCUGGAAGGGAUGCAUUUAUUAGAUAAAAGGUCGACGCGGGCUAUGCCCGUUACUCUGAUGAUUCAUGAUAACUCGACGGAUCGUACGACCUUUGUGCCGACGAUGCAUCAUUCAAAUUUUUGCCCUAUCAACUUUCGAUGGUAGGAUAAUGGCUUACUAUGGUGGUGACUGAUGAUGGAGAAUUAGGGUUUGAUUCCGGAGAGGGAGCCUAAAAAAUGGCUACCACAUCCAAGGAAGGCAGCAAGCGCACAAAUUACCCAAUCCUGACAUGGAGAGGUAGUGACAAUAAAUAACAAUAUCGGGCUCUCUGAGUCUAGUAAUUGGAAUGAGUACAAUCUAAAUCCCUUAACGAGAAUCCAUUGGAGGGCAAGUCUGGUGCCAGCAGCUGCGGUAAUUCCAGCUCCAAUAGCGUAUAUUUAAGUUGUUGCAGUUAAAAAGCUCGUAGUUGGAACUAGGGUUGGGUCAUCCGGUUCACCGUACGGUAAACACCGGUCUACUCGUCUCUACUGUCGGUGAUGCGCUCCUGGACUUAAUUACCCUAGUCAUUCCUUCGACGCUAUUACUGUGAAGAAAUUAGAGUGCUCAAAGUAGGCCUACACUUGUAUACAUUAGCAUGGGAUAACAUCAUAAGAUUUCGGUCCUAUUGUGUUGGCCUUCGAGAUCGGAGUAAUGAUUAACAGGGACAGUCAGGGGCAUUCGUAUUUCAUAGUCAGAGGUGAAAUUUUUGGAUUUAUGAAAGAUGAACAACUGUGAAAGCAUUUGCCAAGGAUGUUUUCAUUAAUCAAGAAUGAAAGUUGAGGGCUCAAAGAUGAUCAGAUACCGUCUUAGUCUCAACCAUAAACAAUACCGACCAGGGAUCGGUGGAUGUUACUUUUAGGACUCUGUCGGCACCUUAUGAGAAAUCAAAGUCUUUGGGUUCCGGGGGGAGUAUGGUCGCAAGGCUGAAACUUAAAGGAAUUGAUGGAAGGGCAACACCAGGAGUGGAGCCUGCAGCUUAAUUUGACUCAACACGGGGAAACUUACCAAGUCCAAACAUAGUAAGGAUUGAUAGACUGAGAGCUCUUUCUUGAUUCUAUGGGUGGUGGUGCAUGGCCGUUCUUAGUUGGUAGAGCGAUUUGUCUGGUUAAUUUCGUUAACGAAUGAGACCUUAGCCUGCUAAAUAGCUACGCGGAGGUGAUUCCUUCGUGGCUAGCUUCUUAGAGGGACUAUGGCUGCUUAGGCUAAGGAAGUUUGAGGCAAUAACAGGUUUGUGAUGCCCUUAAAUGUUUUAGGCCGUAGGUGCGCUACACUGAUGUAUUCAACGAGUCUAUAGCCUUGGACGACAGGCCCGGGUAAUCUUUGAAAUUUCAUCAUGAUGGGGAUAGAUCAUUGCAAUUGUUGGUCUUCAACGAGGAAUUCCUAGUAAGCAUGAGUCAUCAACUCACGUUGACUACGUUCCUGCCCUUUGUACACACCACUAGUCACUCCUACCGAUUGAAUGGUCUGGUGAAGUGUUCAGAUCACGGUGAUGUGGAUAGUCCACCGCCCGCGACGUCACGAGAAGUCCACUGAACCUUAUCAUUUAGGGGAAGGAGAAGUCGUAACAGGGUUUCCGUAGGUGAACUUGCGAAAG
rnacentral:rRNA from 1 species